rnacentral:lncRNA from 1 species
AUGCACGGGAGUAGCCGCCGGUACACACCUAGGGAAGGACGGUCCCCUCCAGCAGCCGGCAGGGAGCCCGUGAAGGUCACGGCCAGCCAUGAAACAGCUGCACCGCCCAGCACGCCGCCCACGUUUGGUCUCCCCCUGGACACCGCCCACUCUUGGUCUGCAACAGAGAUUCCAUUUCUCCCUGGGAUUAGGAGGCACAGAGUGUCCAGAUCUGCUUCUGAAAUCUCUUCCUCCCUUAAGCCAGGGCCAAAGCUGCCUCCUGCAGAGGGAGAGGAGAAGCUGCGUUCCCCGCCUUUCUCGAAUUGUUUGUGGACUGUGAGUGACACAUGUCCGGCUGCACCACGGGAGCACCAGGGAACACCAUGCUGCUCUCCCUGGAGCCCCCAUUGGCGUCCUGGCAAUUUCCAGCUUGUCUCCCAAAGACGGGCUUCUUCACACUUUGGUCACACGGAGAAAUAUCAGUGCAGUCUCUGUCUCUCUCUCAUUUCCCCCUUAAUUGCCAUGAUGUUGCAACUCCCAGGCGUGUCCCCAGCUCUCCUGACGCUGUUUGCAGUGGCCGGACCCAGCUAAAGCAACUGAACCUCCAGAGCAGAGGACAGUGUCCUGCCCGCACAUCUCGAUGUGGCCCCAGGCGUUUGCCUCUAGCACCACAGGAGGGUCCCCCGGCUUUGAGGUGCAGAAAGACCAAAACCAAACGCAUUCCCAGGCAGAUGCGAGGAACAGUAAUGAAUCAGGGACCCUUCUUAGUGCCGUUAUAAGUAACAAUAGUGAGUCAGACGGGUGCAGACCCUUUGGAAGACCCAGUCUGCAAGCCCCAGAGAGCACAGAGGGUGCUGGAGGGAACCGGGGGAGGGAUGUACAGGCGAGAAACACCCGUGACCCGGUCCCAGGUCAUCACUGACUAAAGCUCCCGCUUUUAUGCACAUCCACGCUUUCUAAAAAACCACCGACAACAAAAGGGUCGUUUCCUGGCCCCCAGUGGGGUGCGAAAUGUCAGCGCUGGGCUGCUCUGGGCAGCAUCGCUACACCUGUGUCCCAUUCUUGGGGGGCAUCCCCUUCUCACAUCUGUGUCUAAAGCCAGGAAUGGGCAGUGUGACCUGAGGGAAAUCAGGGACACCCUCUGUGCCCUCAUCUACAAACAUGUCUCUCGUAUGCCAGUAAAUGAAGAAAAGGCAAGACCUAAAUCCUGAACUCCUACAGCUGUAACACGUUCCUCUGUGCCAAGGAACGGACAUUCUACAGCUGCAGAUACCCCUGGGCCGCAGGCUGAAUGGGCAAGAAGACCCCGGCACAGCUCAGGUGUCUGAGUCCUUCCAGAAAGAAAGACUGUGGUUUUUGGCCAGGCACAGUGGCUCAUGUCUGUAGUCCUAGCACUUUGGGAGGCCGAGGCAGGCAGAUCGCUUGAGCCCAGGAGUUUGAGAUCAGCCUGGGCAACAUGGUGAAACCCUGUCUCUACUAAAAACACAAAAGUUAGCUGGGCGUGGUGGCGCAUGCCUGUAGUCCCAGCUACUCGAGAGGCUGAGGUGAGGGGAUCACCUGAACCCAGGAGGUCUAAGCUGCAGUGAGCCAAGAUUGCACCACUGCACUCCAGCCUGGGUGACAGAGCAAGAACACACCUUUAAAAAAAAGGAAAGAGAAAAAGAAAAGAAAGAAAGACAGCCGUUUUCAUAAGGGGGUAAGACUCAGAGGGCAGAAGAAAGCAGAGUCUUGUGGGGGGCACCGUCUGUGGCUGGGUCUGAGGGACCAGGGCCGCCGUAGCCCCUUCCUUUCUGCACUGCUCUGACCAAGUGCAUCUAAGGGGAGGAGGGAUGAGGGGGGUGGAGGCCUCCAUGGCCGCUUAGCUAUGAUUCUGCUGGACACCACGGUCUGGAGGAGGCAGCGGGGGCAGGUGCCACCUCACUUUCUGGUACCGGAAUGACAUAUGCUUGUCACGUCCACCCCAUUUCACAGAUGGGAAACAAGGGCUCAGGUAACUCAAGGGAAGCAGCAUUGGGAGGUCAGGGCAGGCCUUCUGCCCAAUCCCCCGCCCGCUGGCUGCGUUCUUUCUACACUCGGCCAAGGUCUGUGCCCCCACAUCCCUCCCUGCCCCGCCCUGGGCUGCGCUGACCUGCCUUCUCCCCCUCCCCAUUAGCUGCAAAGAAAACUCUUCUGGGGUCUGUCAAAUGCAGAGCUGCUUCGUGUCCCUUCUUUAACAGUAAAAACUCUUUUCUUGGAAAUAAUGAAAUCAAAUUUGUAUUUCUCAACAAAACCUGCCCUCCAUCCCUCUAUGAAGUAAAAUGCAAGUUGCUCUUCUGAGCUCCAAAUACACCGAGACAAAAACAAGCCCAGGUGAAGCUGCAGCUGGAGACCUGAGUUAAUGUGAGUGCAAGCCCGGGGCAGAGCGGGUCUAGAUACAUAAUUCAUGCACGCCACUGGGGAAGACUGGACACUCGUGAAGUUCAACAGAUCAUAAGCUGGAUCCAGGGCUGUGGCAGCAACACAGCUUCGCAAGCAGGCGAGUGACCCAGAGCACAGAGGGAGGGAUGGGGACAGGUGCAGCAGAGAUCGGGCGCGGGCCAGGGAUGCAUCACGGCACCUGUGCACAGGAGUGGCCUCCAGGCGCUCCAAGUCCUCUGGGUUCCAGGGUCUCCUUCCUUCAGGGCACCCCCACCCACCCUCUCCCCAAGGCUUGGGCCAUACUCCAUGCCCCCGUGCCUGCCCUGCACCCACCUCUGGCAAGCUCGGGCAGGGGGAGAGCGAGACAAGGUGAGGGAGGAGACGGUGGUGGAUGGGGGAGCAGGGCAGGCUGGGGGUCGGGGCAAAGGGCGGUGCUGACAGCAGGACACUCUGGUCCCUGUCCCAGUGAAGUCCCAGGAAACAGUCUCUCGAGUUGCUGGGCCAGCACUCAGGAGCUGGGGCUGCCUGGUGCACGAAGCACAUAAACCAGGACACUGGAAUGUCACUGAGCUUCCCUCCAACACAGUGGGAGAGAGGACUUGGCACAGAGUGGCUGAGUGGACGUGCAGGCUGGAGUGACCAGCCCAGCCCCGUGCUUACCAAGGAGUAUUGGGGAGGGGGCCGAAUCUCCAGUCGGGCAGAAAGAGCUGCUGGUGUCAACCCUGCCGGCAAGAUGUGCCCAAGAUCCCGAGUCCAGCAAACUUCCCUGGCCCUGGCCAGAGCCCAUGUCUGACUCUGAAGGUGUGGGGGGUGUGGACGUGGGGGCACUGCCAUUUCCACUGCCAGGCUUUGGGUGUGGACACGAGGGCACUGCUAUCUCCACUGCCAAGCUUUGGGGUGUAGGCAUGAGGGCACUGCUAUUUCCACUGCCAGGCCUGCUGGAUAUGCUCCAGCCUGGGUCACAAGCCCAGGCGACCGAGCUUCCCUGAGAGGCGCCCAGCCUGACGCAGCACAGGGCCACGGGCCGGGGCACGACGAGCUCUGCUCUUUCUCAGUCUCCCUGUGACGGGAAUUGUAAUCCCAUCCUCAGAGGGUGGCUAAGGGGAUCCCCAGGAAACUACCCGGACAAUUCCUGCCACAGAGACGCUUUAAACAGGGCAACGGCCGGGAUCUCUGAGGUUUCCUUUUCCUAACCAGAAACAGAUUCUCUUUGACAAAUGGGUCUUGCUGCUUGUCCUUAUGGACCCAAUGCCGUGGGCCCGGCCUGCACUUCCUGGUGGAGUCCUGGCCCCACUCGCCUCCUCCACACACGUCCUCUUCACCAAAGGAGACUCACAGAGCCCCGGUGGCACCGGGUGCUACCCAUGCGGGGCACGGAGACUCAGGGCCGGUUUCCCUCUGGCUGAGUGAGGGUGAGGGAGGGCAGACCUGUUCCCUGUUAAACCCUGGAGCUAGCACAGACCUGCGGCCCGCCUGGGACCCAGUGAGGAUCUGUGGAGACGGGAGACAGGCAAUGGGGAGUGUCGAGGUGAGAGGUGUGUGGGGCUGUUCCUGGCAGGUCCCAGCAAGUGACACGCCCAAGGCUGGGGACCCAGGAUGGGGCCAAGGGCACCUAAGGGCUGAACAAGAGUGAGAUUAGACCCC